rnacentral:ncRNA from 1 species
UUAAAGAGCGGGCGAAAGCGCCGUAUACUUGUGGCCAUCGAAUUAACGUUUAAGCGAACUGUAAGCUCGCCGAUCCACGGGGAAAAGCCGUAACGGAGUCGUUGCGGCUUUUUUACUACC